UUUAAAACAUUUCAUUAUUGCGAUAUAAUCUAGGAUCAAUAUUCAAUUUGAAUAAUAUUCGUGUUCGUUGAGAAUAUUUUAUGAACAGGGAUAUUUCCAUUUACAAAUAAUAACAGUAUUUCCUUAACCCAACGCUGAAUAAGAAGAAUGUUUGUUUUGUAUAUUUCCACCCAUCCCCAACCUGACUAAUCUUUUCUUCCAGGAAUUGUUGUGGCCGCGCGCAAGGCGGUCGGUAGAGCCAGUGUUUGCACGUACAUACGUUUAAUGUUUUGAUUUUCUCAAGGGUGAACUGGCCCUGAAUAGCGUUGCGUUUGUACAAUUAGGAAUCACGCGAUAGUAGAGUCAGUGUUUGCUGCGUUUUAUAAAAUAUUUUCUAGAGCAUCGCGGCUCUGAUUUUUCUUUUUUCAUCGCGAAAGUAGAAUCACUACAAUUGUUCGCCGAAAAUUAUUCACGGUCGCGUUAUUAGUAUUUUAUAUCUUGAAUUUUAUUUUUAAUUUUUUUUUUUUUUAUUGCUCGAUAUAUCCGGUAUUAGAGUCAGUGCACCACUGAAGAGGAGUCUUGGGUGUUGCUCCAUAAGGAAAGAGUAUGAAUUUUUUGAUUUUGCCGAGUUCCUGGACAUCCUGAUGAUGGCUUUCUUCACGACUUCCGUCUUGAUGAAUCUUCUCCUACAAGGCAGCCUCCUACCUGGUGUUGUCCAUCCUCCUACUUGACUGUCGGAAGAAGAGUAUAUCUGCGAACGGUGAGUCGCAUGUUUUAUGGUUCCUCUGGUGCCCUAUCAUGUCGUAGG